AUGUUUGCUGACAGGUGCUGUAGUAAUCAGCAACCAGUGCGCCCCCUGCUGUUGGAAAGAAGAUAUAGCCGACUGUUCUUCACUGCCCCAAAUCAAGAUCUCAGGACUUCCGUGUUUGCGUGUAGACACCCUUCCCCAGCCUCAUUCUCCAUCAGGACCCUUAAACAUCAGAGAUUCCUGCUCAAUCCUCUCCUGCUGCUGGGCUGCAGAUACAUACAAGACCCUUGGAAUCCAGCCAUCAAUAUGAAAAUGAGUCCAGACUAUAGAGACAAAUGUGGCCUCAUUUGUUUGCACAAAUGCUCCAGGUGCUGGUGCCUGGUCGGUGUGGCCAUCUAGUGACCAGAGAGGAAACUGCAGCGAUGGGCGCCGCUUACAGCAAUGAGGUCAUCCAUCUCCUUUUCCCAGAGCUCAGGUUUCUCCGCAGAAGGAGGGAUUCCAGCUGUGCCGCAGGAUCCUUGGAAAAGAUACUUUGAAAUUAAAGAAAAUUGGAAGCGCUCCCUUAAAGCCAACUUCUUCAUGCAUUUAUGCCACUGGAAAGUAUUUGGUGCGGGUAGACAGAGCCCCUUCAUGCGUGGAGCUUGGUAAACUUAAACCUCUGCCAGGAACUCUUGUACAGUGACCGACCUGCACUGCCUUGCCUGAAGCCCUAGUACUGCAACAAUCUUCCUCUUAGAAUUUCCAUAGCCACUCCCACCCCCUCCACAAACCUAUAUUCCUAAAAGAGGGACACAAAGGACACUCCGCCCUCAUAGGUUUAUGCUGCUCUUGCAGAUGCAGUUCCAUGAGAAUUUCCGUUUUCAACAAGCACUAUCAAUUUUAGCUUUCUGUGUGGGUGGGAUGGUUCAUUGGGUAAAGGCUCUUGCAGCCAAGCCUGACCACCCGAGUUUGAUCCCCCAAACCCGUAUAACAGAAGAACCCAAUCCCGCCUACACAUACAUGCCCUCCCCUACACAUAAUGAAUGCAUAAAUGGAAUCAAUUUUUUUUUUUUUUGAUUUUCGAGACAGUGUUUCUCUGUGUAGCUUUGGAGCCUAUGCUGGCACUCACUCUGGAGACCAGGCUGGCCUCGAACUCACAGAGAUCCGCCUGCCUCUGCCUCCCUAGUGCUGGGUUUAAAGGCAUGUGCCACCAACGCCCGGCUUGGAAUUGACUUUUAAAAUAUAGCUUUCUAUCCUAGGUGUUGACGGUUUCCUUCAGAUGAUAUGGAUGUGAAGCCUGGAAACUACCAGUGCUGUGUUUGGGAAGAAAAAAAGCAAUUGCACAGCUUCUCACUAUAGACUUCAGUGUGGAGCUGGACAAAUCAGAAGUGUAGAAAAUGUCACACUUUAAAGCCAUGGA
rnacentral:lncRNA from 1 species